CUGGAACUCCUUCCCUUUGCAGUUGGAUAUCAUCUGUGAAAGCAGUCAGUUAUGCAAGAUCCAUUAGUUUGCAAGCUUCCUGAAGCAGAAACCCUAUCUGAUGCCUCUUUGGGAACUGCCAUGGCUUGUAUGGUGAGUCGUCCUUAAUCUGUUUCAUCCCAUGUUUUUUCUGCUUCUCUGGUGGUUUGGAAAAGUCUCUUGGAUUCUCAUGGGCUAAGUGAGAAGCACCAACCUGUCCUUUUCGGACGCAUGUACCACAGAAGGUAUCACAGAGUCCACUGACGACUUGGCUGAGGCAAAGGACAGCUUCUACCACGCCGAUCCCCAGCAGGAUGGAG